AAGCUCUGUUGUGGGUGGUCAUGUUUAUUUAUAUCUGCUUUUGUUGCCAGUCUUUCACAAAGCAGGGGAAGAGUUAUGGCUGGGGUCAUGGAAGUUUUCUCCUGCACCCCGUUCUAGUUUGAUGGUUUUAGAUUUUUACAUCUAGGAAUGGAUUCCUGUAUCCAGUAUAAGGUCCCACCCUCCCAAGAGUAAGCAAAGAAGAUUCAGACAAGAUAACCACAAAGAAGAGACUGAGACAGGACCAGCUUCCUAGAAGAAACAGAGACCAAGACAUUUGGGAAGGACACGCUCCAAACUUUUGAGCUGACUACAGGCUGUGCAAUGUGCUCCAGGUUCUUGACUUUUCUGAGCUGUCACCUGUGCUGUGGUAAACUUUGGUGAUGCAACUGUCCUUAAAUCAUUUCUGCUUUUGCAUCCAGACGUCUGGUGCACAUGCUGAAUUCCCAGAGCCUGUCUGGAGACAUGGGCGGGCUCUGCUCCCCUGACAUCUUUCCCCAGAAGCCUUUCUGUUUCUCCCUCUUUUUCCCUCCUGGAUUCUUCAGCAAAAAGGCUUACAGCUUGAGAGGGCAAAGUUUCUAGUUUACAAUCCCUGCUUCCCCCAGUGUUAAGGGCAUAUCAAGCCGUGCUUAAUGCAUGAGAAGGCUUAAUGAAACUUAGCAUUUUGGUUCUUGACGACUGGCCAGUUCACACGCCACUGACUCCCAAAGGAUUCAUAGUAAGUCUUUAACUUGACCCUUAGAAAGCAUUUAAGAAAAUUCAGGGAACCCAUCAAAACAAAACCCACAACCAGAUGCUGAGCUGUGAGCUAUGAGCAGCAGGCAUGUACUGGUCAAGGAAUUAGAUUACUCAAGGUGGUGACUCAUUCAGCAACUAUGUAGUGUUUGUGGUCGGGGAAACCUUCGCCAGAACAUGACUAAAAUCUAUUGGCAGCUUCUUAAAAGGAAUCAUGACGGGGCCUAAACCAAUGAGUAUAUCAGAGAACAACUCCGACAGUCAGUUGGAUCUCUUCUUUCACCACAUGGUUCUGAGGACCAAAGUCAGGCUCAGUGUUGUAUGAAGAGUUGAAGAAUAAGGACCUCACCCUGCAAGCCACGGCUGCUUUUAGAGCUGUAGAGGGGCUCCCACCUGCACACGUGCACCUGUGCGCCCUUAUGGCUGUCAAAUCCCCACUAAGUACCCCACUAAACAAGUGACACGGUCCAGUCUGCAACCUCUGUGGAGAAGAGUGGGGUUUGGCCACAGAGGGAAUCCUGCUAGAAUCAGAAGGAAGAAACCAGGAAAAAAGGUACAUUCAAGAAAGGGGAGUUUGUCUAUUUGAGGGAAGUAGGCAGUCUCUCUGGCCCUUGGGCGAUUUUUAAGGGUUACAUCUGUGUGUUACCCACACAUUCCACAACCGAUUCUUGUGAUGAGCAUACAUCUUUGGGGAAAAGGUUAUGGCCUUAGUGCAAGAUGGCGUCCUUGAGAGCAACACGGAGAGGAUCCCGAGAAAAGCCAGAGUGUCUUAUUGGGGCUCUGCCUAGCAACACCUGACCCACUAUCUGGGCUGAGCGUGAUUAAGCCAGGGAUUCAUUUUCAGGAAACAAUACCCUCAGACUUGUUCUCUGGGUCCUGGAGGAGGUGAAGCAUCCCUUUUAGAAAAGAGGACAAGUCAUCUACUGUAUAUAGUGGGGUGCUUUUAUAGAAAUGAGUCCUUGCUAACAUGUUUUGAGGUAAAAAUCAGACCUUAUUACAAUUAUUAUCACUGUCUCUGUCUGUCUGUCUCUCUCUGUGUGAGUGUCUAUGUAUGUGUGUGUGUGUGUGUGUGUACAUGUACACAUAUAUGUGUGACAGAUCAAGUUACCCUGCAACUCUACAUGUAGCUUAAGUUGGCCUCGAACAUCUGGCAAUCCUCCUGCUUCAGCCUCUCAAGUGCUAGGAUCACAGACAUGAGUUUCCAUGCUUGGCACACCUUUCCUUUUCUUUUUCUUUUCUAAAUAGAAUCUUUCACACAUAUGUGUGCAACACUGUGCUUUUACUACAUCCGCAUUUAGUUUUUCAAUGUUCCACAUUAAGUUAGCUUGCAGUUAAGUGUCUACACUGAUGACUAGUAUCUACCGAGCACAUUCUACACCCCGGAUACCAUCCAUGCAUUAACUCCACGAGCAGGGGGGCCUGUUAUUGUAUUAAUUUUAUGUGUGAUGAUAUCGAGACCCAGAGAGCUCAGCAAUGUUCCCACGUGUGACAGAAGCAGGGUGUGAGUCCAGCCGCUUAUUUUUCUUGUUACUUUUAAUUGUUCACAAUACAUCUCAAACACCGUCAAAUAGUUGCCUUGCCUGCUCUUUGAGACCGGGAGCAAGGGAACACUUGGAACGCACGGACAUCACACUGAGAUACCCACCCAGGGGCAACAGUCCUGUGAAUAAAUGUGUAACAACACAAACGGGGUGAGAACUUGCUGAGACGGCAUCUGUGCUCCGGGAUAGCUGGGGCUUUGUUGUUCUUUAAGCAGGCCACAUCUGGCUCUGGCAGCAAUUUUGAGAUGCUUUACAGUGACAUGUUCCGAAGUCUACCUUCUGUGUUCGCAUCACCUGAGCUCGAGGCCAGACCUGCUGGGGCUCCUCAAUGCCUUCAGUUCCAUGCCCUUCAGAAAGCCGAGUUCUGGAUCUCCAGACUCUCAUGGGUGACCCUGGACCCAGCCAGCGCUCCUGACUUCUGUGCUAGACCCUCUUCACAAUGAGUAUGUGGUUCCACAACUAUAUCUUUCUAUUACAGAUUAAUAAUUUAGGAUUCAGAUACCCAUUCUCACUUGAAAAUUAUUCUGUGAUAUGAAAAUCUACUUAUCUAUCCUCUACAGUCUGAAUCCAUCUAUCCCACCAAAUGCAUGAAAGUAUGGAAAUUCACAGACUUUCCAUUUUCUGUCUACACUUUUCUCUUUACAUUUUUUGGAGGGAGGUGCGCUUGUUGCAGCGUGUGUGUGGAGGUUAGAGACCUGGUGGAAGGAGCUCUUUCCUUUUACCAUGUGGGUCCGGGGAUCAAAUUCAAGUUGUCAAGCUUGCAGCAGGAGCCUCUCUGCCGGCCGAGCUUCUUCCCGACCCUGGCUCAGCGGUAUCUGAGAGAUGAUGAUGGUGAUGAUGAUGAUGGUGACGGUGAUGAUGAUGAUGAUGACGACGACGACGAUUAUUAUUAUUUUAGGUCUAGAACUAAUAAGGUCCUUUGAACUCAGCCCCAUUGACUUGGUCCAAAGUUAGUGGUCCGAUUUUUUCUUUUAACCUGACAUCUUAAAACUGGAGCUGUCCCUUCAAGGGGACCAGGUGAAGCUGAGCCUGAUGCCUCCCACCUGAGAAUGAGCAGCUAGGUACGCCUCCUCACAUCAGUGGUGCCAGCACUUGGGACUUUAAUAUUGUUAGGAUUUCCAGAAGUCUCUUUUUAGUGACUGAGAUCACCCAAGUUACUCCUUCACCGAGGAACAGGCCUCAGCAGCAUUUCCUUUUCCCUAAUACUAGCCCAUCCCACCUAACCCCACAUCUACUAGGGAUGGACGAACGUGGAAAGCACUUGCUACUCAAAGUGUGGUCCUCAGCCUGGACACCGGCAACAUCCAAAAGCUUCUUAGAAGUGCAAAAGGUCACACCCAUUCAUAGACUGAUGGAACAGAAGCUCUUUAAGGAUCCCAGGCACCCAGACCACAGCAAAAUAUUUCUUGUAACCCUUGGGACUGGAGAGAUGGUUCAGCCAUUAAGAAGGUGGACUGCUCUUACAGAGGGCCUGGCAGCUUACAAAUGCCUGUAACUCUAGGUCCAGCAGGACUGCGUGCCUUUGUGAGUGGACCCACACAUAUGGACACACACAACUGAGAAAAUAUUAAAAAUAGUUCUUGGGAUUCUGGAGCCAUUGUCCCUUUCUCCUUCUAUAGUUGCUCUGAGCACUUCCCGAAUUAAGCCUUGUACUGGAAUCUUUUGUGACCCUCUGAAGGUCAGGCAUUGGAUCCCUUCUGUCAGAGUGAGCCCUUGGACUACUGGACAGGUUUCGUUUUAGCGCUUUGCCGAUGUUUACUUACCUCUCGCUGUUCAAUAAGCGUCUUUGUGAGGACAAGGAAGAAACGGCAGGUACCUGAGAAGCUUCUGCACACAGCCAGAAAGGGUUUGAACGGAAAGCCUGCUCUGCAGCAUGGUUUACUUAAUAAAUGUUAAGUGAAAACAUUAAA
rnacentral:sRNA from 1 species